CUGGCCCAUUAUCCUAUAAACACAAGCAAUGAGAUACUCAAGUUUUAAGCAAGCUGGACAUCCAAAACAAAAAUGGCAUUUUGUUUUAAACUCUUCCUGUGAUUAGCAUCAAUAUUCCCAUCCCAGCACAACAGGACAAAGAAUUUCCAGAAAAAUAAAUUUUAAGGAAGAGACCAGAGCAUAAAUAAGACCCGAGAUGAGAACUUUUUACUACAGCACACUCAGCUCUUUCUAGAAUCUCCUGCACUGAUUUAUGGCCUUAUUUGGUAAAGGAGAAGAAGAAGAAGAAGAAGAAGAAGAAGAAGAAGAAGAAGAAGAAGAAGAGUUGUCUACUGUAAAAUGUCAUUGUUUUUCCAAAAUAGAGGCUUU